rnacentral:rRNA from 1 species
GUCGAACGGUAACAGAACUAGCUUGCUAGUUGCUGACGAGUGGCGGACGGGUGAUUAAUGUAUAGGAACUUGCCUAAUAGUGGGGGACAACAUGUGGAAACGCAUGCUAAUACCGCAUACGCUCUACGGAGGAAAGCAGGGGAUCUUCGGACCUUGCGCUAUUAGAUAGGCCUAUAUUGGAUUAGCUAGUUGGUAAGGUAACGGCUUACCAAGGCGACGAUCCAUAGCUGGUUUGAGAGAAUGAUCAGCCACACUGGGACUGAGACACGGCCCAGACUCCUACGGGAGGCAGCAGUGGGGAAUAUUGCACAAUGGAGGAAACUCUGAUGCAGCAAUGCCGCGUGUGUGAAGAAGGCCUUAGGGUUGCAAAGCACUUUCAAUAGGGAGGAAAAGUUAUGUCUUAAUACGGCAUAGCCGUGACGUUACCUAUAGAAGAAGGACCGGCUAACUCCGUGCCAGCAGCCGCGGUAAUACGGAGGGUCCGAGCGUUAAUCGGAAUUACUGGGCGUAAAGCGCGCGUAGGUGGUUAGACAAGUCAGAUGUGAAAUCCCCGGGCUCAACCUGGGAACUGCAUUUGAAACUGUUUGGCUAGAGUAUGGUAGAGGUGAGUGGAAUUUCAGGUGUAGCGGUGAAAUGCGUAGAGAUCUGAAGGAACAUCAGUGGCGAAGGCGACUCACUGGGCCAUUACUGACACUGAGGUGCGAAAGCGUGGGUAGCAAACAGGAUUAGAUACCCUGGUAGUCCACGCCCUAAACGAUGUCAACUAGGUGUAUGAGAGUUUAACUCUUGUGUAUCGAAGCUAACGCGAUAAGUUGACCGCCUGGGGAGUACGGCCGCAAGGCUAAAACUCAAAUGAAUUGACGGGGGCCCGCACAAGCGGUGGAGCAUGUGGUUUAAUUCGAUGCAACGCGAAGAACCUUACCAGGUCUUGACAUGUACGGAACUUUCCAGAGAUGGAUUGGUGCCUUCGGGAACCGUAACACAGGUGCUGCAUGGCUGUCG